GCAUGAACUUAGCUUGCUAAGUUUGAUGGCGACCGGCGCACGGGUGAGUAACACGUAUCCAACCUGCCGAUGACUCGGGGAUAGCCUUUCGAAAGAAAGAUUAAUACCCGAUGGCAUAGUUCUUCCGCAUGGUAGAACUAUUAAAGAAUUUCGGUCAUCGAUGGGGAUGCGUUCCAUUAGGUUGUUGGCGGGGUAACGGCCCACCAAGCCUUCGAUGGAUAGGGGUUCUGAGAGGAAGGUCCCCCACAUUGGAACUGAGACACGGUCCAAACUCCUACGGGAGGCAGCAGUGAGGAAUAUUGGUCAAUGGACGAGAGUCUGAACCAGCCAAGUAGCGUGAAGGAUGACUGCCCUAUGGGUUGUAAACUUCUUUUAUACGGGAAUAAAGUGAGGCACGUGUGCCUUUUUGUAUGUACCGUAUGAAUAAGGAUCGGCUAACUCCGUGCCAGCAGCCGCGGUAAUACGGAGGAUCCGAGCGUUAUCCGGAUUUAUUGGGUUUAAAGGGAGCGUAGGCGGACGCUUAAGUCAGUUGUGAAAGUUUGCGGCUCAACCGUAAAAUUGCAGUUGAUACUGGGUGUCUUGAGUACAGUAGAGGCAGGCGGAAUUCGUGGUGUAGCGGUGAAAUGCUUAGAUAUCACGAAGAACUCCGAUUGCGAAGGCAGCUUGCUGGACUGUAACUGACGCUGAUGCUCGAAAGUGUGGGUAUCAAA
rnacentral:rRNA from 1 species